rnacentral:lncRNA from 1 species
GGGGCAACUGAGGUCUAGAAGGACUCUUAGUUUGGUUGAUCACUUUCUCUCAUCAAAUAUUCUUGCUGUCUCAUUAUCUUCCUGUUAGGAUUUACAAUUACCAGAGGAAUAUUGAUUUCUUGAGCAUGAUCUGUUUUGGAACAUCAAGACUACUGGUCUGAAAUCUAGGAGCUGCACUUCGCCACUGCCAGUGUAGUCUCCCUGUGACCUCUCCAGUGUAGUCUCCCCGUGGAGGACUGUCCAAAGGGCAAAAUGACCUCUCUUCUCCUCUGCACAUAUCUGAAUCCUAUAGACCCAGGAUCUGGGGCCCCAUA